rnacentral:rRNA from 1 species
GAUGAACACUGGCGGCGUGCUUAACACAUGCAAGUCGAACGAAGCACCUUAUUCUGAUUUCUUCGGAAUGAAAAAUUUGGUGACUGAGUGGCGGACGGGUGAGUAACGCGUGGGUAACCUGCCUCAUACAGGGGGAUAACAGUUAGAAAUGACUGCCAAUACCGCAUAAGACCACAGCACCGCAUGGUGCAGGGGUAAAAACUCCGGUGGUAUGAGAUGGACCCGCGUCUGAGUAGGUAGUUGGUGGGGUAACGGCCUACCAAGCCGACGAUCAGUAGCCGACCUGGGAGGGGGACCGGCCACAUUGGGACUGAGACACGGCCCAAACGCCUACGGUAGGCAGCAGUGGGGAAUAUUGCACAAUGGGGGAAACCCUGAUGCAGUGACGCCGCGUGAGCGAUGAAGUAUUUCGGUAUGUAAAGCUCUAUCAGCAGGGAAGAAAAUGACGGUACCUGACUAAGAAGCACCGGCUAAAUACGUGCCAGCCGCCGCGGUAA